ACUCCUACGGGAGGCAGCAGUGGGGAAUAUUGGACAAUGGGCGCAAGCCUGAUCCAGCCAUGCCGCGUGAGUGAUGAAGGCCCUAGGGUUGUAAAGCUCUUUCACCGGUGAAGAUAAUGACGGUAACCGGAGAAGAAGCCCCGGCUAACUUCGUGCCAGCAGCCGCGGUAAUACGAAGGGGGCUAGCGUUGUUCGGAUUUACUGGGCGUAAAGCGCACGUAGGCGGACUAUUAAGUCAGGGGUGAAAUCCCGGGGCUCAACCCCGGAACUGCCUUUGAUACUGGUAGUCUUGAGUUCGAGAGAGGUGAGUGGAAUUCCGAGUGGAGAGGUGAAAUUCGUAGAUAUUCGGAGGAACACCAGUGGCGAAGGCGGCUCACUGGCUCGAUACUGACGCUGAGGGGCGAAAGCGUGGGGAGCAAACAGGAUUAGAUACCCCGGUAGUCCCAG
rnacentral:rRNA from 1 species